rnacentral:misc_RNA from 1 species
AGGAAUCACCAAGGCCUCCUGCCAAGUCACCUAAAGUUGAUGAAAUCCAAACAGCAGAUAGGUUUAAGACAAGGAGGAGGAGAUCCAUUUAGUUUCUGAAGUUUUGAUCGUUCAUGGGAAAUUAUUCGGCUAUUUACCCUCUUCCAAGAAACACACAAGGUCAGAUGCUGGCAUUGUUUGAAGGGAGGUAAUUCCGAGAACAA